UUAAGCGACUAAGCGUACACGGUGGAUGCCCUGGCAGUCAGAGGCGAUGAAGGACGUGCUAAUCUGCGAUAAGCGUCGGUAAGGUGAUAUGAACCGUUAUAACCGGCGAUUUCCGAAUGGGGAAACCCAGUGUGUUUCGACACACUAUCAUUAACUGAAUCCAUAGGUUAAUGAGGCGAACCGGGGGAACUGAAACAUCUAAGUACCCCGAGGAAAAGAAAUCAACCGAGAUUCCCCCAGUAGCGGCGAGCGAACGGGGAGCAGCCCAGAGCCUGAAUCAGUGUGUGUGUUAGUGGAAGCGUCUGGAAAGGCGCGCGAUACAGGGUGACAGCCCCGUACACAAAAAUGCACAUGCUGUGAGCUCGAUGAGUAGGGCGGGACACGUGGUAUCCUGUCUGAAUAUGGGGGGACCAUCCUCCAAGGCUAAAUACUCCUGACUGACCGAUAGUGAACCAGUACCGUGAGGGAAAGGCGAAAAGAACCCCGGCGAGGGGAGUGAAAAAGAACCUGAAACCGUGUACGUACAAGCAGUGGGAGCACGCUUAGGCGUGUGACUGCGUACCUUUUGUAUAAUGGGUCAGCGACUUAUAUUCUGUAGCAAGGUUAACCGAAUAGGGGAGCCGAAGGGAAACCGAGUCUUAACUGGGCGUUAAGUUGCAGGGUAUAGACCCGAAACCCGGUGAUCUAGCCAUGGGCAGGUUGAAGGUUGGGUAACACUAACUGGAGGACCGAACCGACUAAUGUUGAAAAAUUAGCGGAUGACUUGUGGCUGGGGGUGAAAGGCCAAUCAAACCGGGAGAUAGCUGGUUCUCCCCGAAAGCUAUUUAGGUAGCGCCUCGUGAAUUCAUCUCCGGGGGUAGAGCACUGUUUCGGCAAGGGGGUCAUCCCGACUUACCAACCCGAUGCAAACUGCGAAUACCGGAGAAUGUUAUCACGGGAGACACACGGCGGGUGCUAACGUCCGUCGUGAAGAGGGAAACAACCCAGACCGCCAGCUAAGGUCCCAAAGUCAUGGUUAAGUGGGAAACGAUGUGGGAAGGCCCAGACAGCCAGGAUGUUGGCUUAGAAGCAGCCAUCAUUUAAAGAAAGCGUAAUAGCUCACUGGUCGAGUCGGCCUGCGCGGAAGAUGUAACGGGGCUAAACCAUGCACCGAAGCUGCGGCAGCGACGCUGAUGCGUUGUUGGGUAGGGGAGCGUUCUGUAAGCCUGCGAAGGUGUGCUGUGAGGCAUGCUGGAGGUAUCAGAAGUGCGAAUGCUGACAUAAGUAACGAUAAAGCGGGUGAAAAGCCCGCUCGCCGGAAGACCAAGGGUUCCUGUCCAACGUUAAUCGGGGCAGGGUGAGUCGACCCCUAAGGCGAGGCCGAAAGGCGUAGUCGAUGGGAAACAGGUUAAUAUUCCUGUACUUGGUGUUACUGCGAAGGGGGGACGGAGAAGGCUAUGUUGGCCGGGCGACGGUUGUCCCGGUUUAAGCGUGUAGGCUGGUUUUCCAGGCAAAUCCGGAAAAUCAAGGCUGAGGCGUGAUGACGAGGCACUACGGUGCUGAAGCAACAAAUGCCCUGCUUCCAGGAAAAGCCUCUAAGCAUCAGGUAACAUCAAAUCGUACCCCAAACCGACACAGGUGGUCAGGUAGAGAAUACCAAGGCGCUUGAGAGAACUCGGGUGAAGGAACUAGGCAAAAUGGUGCCGUAACUUCGGGAGAAGGCACGCUGAUAUGUAGGUGAAGUCCCUCGCGGAUGGAGCUGAAAUCAGUCGAAGAUACCAGCUGGCUGCAACUGUUUAUUAAAAACACAGCACUGUGCAAACACGAAAGUGGACGUAUACGGUGUGACGCCUGCCCGGUGCCGGAAGGUUAAUUGAUGGGGUCAGCGCAAGCGAAGCUCUUGAUCGAAGCCCCGGUAAACGGCGGCCGUAACUAUAACGGUCCUAAGGUAGCGAAAUUCCUUGUCGGGUAAGUUCCGACCUGCACGAAUGGCGUAAUGAUGGCCAGGCUGUCUCCACCCGAGACUCAGUGAAAUUGAACUCGCUGUGAAGAUGCAGUGUACCCGCGGCAAGACGGAAAGACCCCGUGAACCUUUACUAUAGCUUGACACUGAACAUUGAGCCUUGAUGUGUAGGAUAGGUGGGAGGCUUUGAAGUGUGGACGCCAGUCUGCAUGGAGCCGACCUUGAAAUACCACCCUUUAAUGUUUGAUGUUCUAACGUGGACCCGUAAUCCGGGUUGCGGACAGUGUCUGGUGGGUAGUUUGACUGGGGCGGUCUCCUCCUAAAGAGUAACGGAGGAGCACGAAGGUUGGCUAAUCCUGGUCGGACAUCAGGAGGUUAGUGCAAUGGCAUAAGCCAGCUUGACUGCGAGCGUGACGGCGCGAGCAGGUGCGAAAGCAGGUCAUAGUGAUCCGGUGGUUCUGAAUGGAAGGGCCAUCGCUCAACGGAUAAAAGGUACUCCGGGGAUAACAGGCUGAUACCGCCCAAGAGUUCAUAUCGACGGCGGUGUUUGGCACCUCGAUGUCGGCUCAUCACAUCCUGGGGCUGAAGUAGGUCCCAAGGGUAUGGCUGUUCGCCAUUUAAAGUGGUACGCGAGCUGGGUUUAGAACGUCGUGAGACAGUUCGGUCCCUAUCUGCCGUGGGCG
rnacentral:rRNA from 1 species